AGUGAACGCUGGCGGUAGGCCUAACACAUGCAAGUCGAACGGCAGCACAGUAAGAGCUUGCUCUUACGGGUGGCGAGUGGCGGACGGGUGAGGAAUACAUCGGAAUCUACUUUUUCGUGGGGGAUAACGUAGGGAAACUUACGCUAAUACCGCAUACGACCUACGGGUGAAAGCAGGGGAUCUUCGGACCUUGCGCGAUUGAAUGAGCCGAUGUCGGAUUAGCUAGUUGGCGGGGUAAAGGCCCACCAAGGCGACGAUCCGUAGCUGGUCUGAGAGGAUGAUCAGCCACACUGGAACUGAGACACGGUCCAGACUCCUACGGGAGGCAGCAGUGGGGAAUAUUGGACAAUGGGCGCAAGCCUGAUCCAGCCAUGCCGCGUGAGUGAAGAAGGCCUUCGGGUUGUAAAGCCCUGUUGUUGGGAAAGAAAAGCAGCAGGUUAAUACCCCGCUGUUCUGACGGUACCCAAAGAAUAAGCACCGGCUAACUUCGUG
rnacentral:rRNA from 1 species